AAAGAUUUGUGGGUGUUGCGAAACAUUGGAAUGUCUUAAUAUUCCUUCAAGCUCACAAGAAACUCCUUGCGCUAAAGCGUCAGCAAUGCCGAUACUUGAAAAAUAUCUCGAUGAAAAUGAACCACCUAAAAAGAAACAAAUUGUGGAAGUGCAAGAAGCUAUCGUUUUACCUGUUUGCUCAUUAUUUAAAAAUAACAGAAAUAUAUUAAAAC